rnacentral:misc_RNA from 1 species
GAUGAAGAACGCAGCGAAAUGCGAUAAGUAAUGUGAAUUGCAGAAUUCAGUGAAUCAUCGAAUCUUUGAACGCACAUUGCGCCCCCUGGUAUUCCGGGGGGCAUGCCUGUUCGAGCGUCAUUUCACCACUCAAGCCUCGCUUGGUAUUGGGCAUCGCAGUCCGCCGCGCGCCUCAAAUCGACCGGCUGGGUCUUCUGUCCCCUAAGCGUUGUGGAAACUAUUCGCUAAAGGGUGUUCGGGAGGCUACGCCGUAAAACAACCCCAUUUCUAAGGUUGACCUCGGAUCAGGUAGGGAUACCCGCUGAACUUAAGCAUAUCAAUAAGCGGAGGA